ensembl:snRNA U6 U6 spliceosomal RNA
GUGCUUGCUUUGGCAGCACAUGUACUAAAAUUCGAAUGAUACAGAGAUUAGCAUGGACCCUGUGCAAGGUGACACAUAAAUUCAUGAAGCAUUCCGUAUUUAA